AGCAGUCGAGAAUCAUUCACAAUGGGGGAAACCCUGAUGGUGCAACGCCGCGUGGAGGAUGAAGGCCCUCGGGUCGUAAACUCCUGUCAUCGGAGAGUAAGCUUUGGUCGUUAAUAGCUUCCAAAGUUGAUAGUAUCCGAAGAGGAAGGGACGGCUAACUUCGUGCCAGCAGCCGCGGUAAUACGAAGGUCCCAAGCGUUGUUCGGAAUCACUGGGCGUAAAGAGUAUGUAGGCGGUAUGGAAAGUCAGAUGUGAAAUCUUGGGGCUCAACCCUGAAACUGCAUCCGAUACUCCCGUACUAGAGUAAUGGAGGGGUGACUGGAAUUCUCGGUGUAGCAGUGAAAUGCGUAGAUAUCGAGAGGAACACUCGUGGCGAAGGCGAGUCACUGGACAUUUACUGACGCUGAGAUACGAAGGCCAGGGUAGCGAAAGGGAUUAGAUACCCCUGUAGUCCUGGCAGUAAACGGUGCACGCUUGGUGUGGCGGGAUUCGACCCCUGCCGUGCCGGAGCUAACGCGUUAAGCGUGCCGCCUGGGGAGUACGGCCGCAAGGCUAAAACUCAAAGAAAUUGACGGGGACCCGCACAAGCGGUGGAGUAUGUGGCUU
rnacentral:rRNA from 1 species